rnacentral:rRNA from 1 species
UACAGAGGUCCCAAGCGUUGUUCGGAUUCAUUGGGCGUAAAGGGUGUGUAGGAGGCUAGGUAAGUCAGGUGUGAAAUCUCAGAGCUUAACUCUGAAACUGCGCUUGAUACUGCUUGGCUAGAGGAUCGGAGGGGGUAACGGAAUUUAUGGUGUAGCAGUGAAAUGCGUAGAUAUCAUAAGGAACACCGGUGGCGAAGGCGGUUACCUGGAAGAUUCCUGACUCUGAAACACGAAAGCCAGGGGAGCAAACGGG